GGCUCAGAUCUGAUGUUGCUGUGGCUGUGAUGUAGGCUGGCAGCUGUAGCUCUGAUUGGACCCCUUGCCUGGGAACCUCCAUGUGCCACGGAUGCGGCCCUAAAAAGCAAAAAAAAAAGGGGGGGGAGUGGGGGGACGUGGGGAGGCUGAGAGAUGUCAGAUAUUUUCCUCCAAAGACACAUGGCCAACAAGUGGUGGAUGAAGUCCCCGAGCCUCCAGCCAACCUUGGUCCUCACACCUACUGCAGUCAUAUUUAGAUUAUUGGGCAGGGGGAAGCUAGAAAAAGAACCCCCAACCUUUCUUGGGGGACAUUCUCAGUUUUCUGUUAAGUUUUACAGAAAGGAACUUAUUUUUCCAUAUCCAAAGUCCAGCUAUAAUUUCAGCCAUCCCUCUUAAACUAGUUUGGAUGGAAACUCAAAAUUUCCAAGAGAAUUUUAAAAAAUAAUUAUUCCCUCUAUGUACCUCAACCCCCCCCGCCUCCUCCCACCCCAGGCCUAUAAAACCUCCCCUGGUAUUAAGGGGAAAAAAAGAAAAGGAAAAGCCUUCUCCAAAAAAUAUUUGUCCCUCAUUGCCAUGCCCCCUGCAUUGGACUUCCAGAUAAACCCUCCCAGCAAGAGCAGGCAAAGCCUCAUUCUAGAGGUGGCGCCUACGUGUUAUUGCCAAUGUCCCAAAGAGGCUAAAAUCAAUGGAUGGGAGAGAAAGGAAGCAUAAACCCUGGGAAACAAAUUUCCUUCAUGACACUUAUUUAUCUACCUUUUUUUUUCUUUGGAAGGGGCAGGAUUGGCUGCGUUUACAAAUCCUGGUGACUUGUUAAAGCUUUUGUUUAGUUAACAGCUUCUGACAUCAGCCACACAAGUGCUGGAUCACUUUCUGGAUGUAAAGAUGCUCAAGGAGAACCCAAGGUGACGCUAAUAGCAGCUGUCAACCCACAGAGAGGUAAUUAUAAAGCGGUGAUUAAAGCAAAACAAAACCUUCAAAUGUUAGAGCCUUCUCAACGGAAACAGCAGGUGGUAGGAUAAGAAACGACAUUAGCCUCCUGAGGAAGCCUCAGGAAAGAUGCGGACCAAACUGGACCCCCUGAAUGCUUCCUGUCUCAGAAACACCCACCUAGCGAGCAAUCUGUGUGCCCAGUGAUGCUAUGCUGCCUGCCUGCCCAGGGGACUCCUGGAGCCCAGCUGGGAACGGAUGGUUAGAACGCUGCUUCCCCAGCCUGUCUGAUCUUGGGCAGACCAAACCCAGGCUCUUUGCUCCAGGGACAGAUCUAUAGCAGAGGCCAUGGUUGGACGGCCAAGUGCCUGCAGCAGGCAGGCCCUGAAGAUCAGAGCAGACCAGGCAGACCUUCUCCACCCUGACGUUUUAAGGGGCAAAACUCUGGAGCCAAACUAGCUCCAAAAGACCACGGGAUUUUAGUGGGUCGUCU
rnacentral:lncRNA from 1 species